UACGGAGGAUCUGAGCGUUAUCCGGAUUUAUUGGGUUUAAAGGGAGCGUAGGUGGAUUGUUAAGUCAGUUGUGAAAGUUUGCGGCUCAACCGUAAAAUUGCAGUUGAGACUGGCAGUCUUAGUACAGUAGAGGUGGGCGGAAUUCGUGGUGUAGCGGUGAAAUGCUUAGAUAUCACGAAGAACUCCGAUUGCGAAGGCAGCUCACUGGACUGCAACUGACACUGAGGCUCGAAAGUGUGGGUAUCAAACAGG
rnacentral:rRNA from 1 species